AUCCAGCUUACCAUCUCUGACAUUUGGUCUUCUCUGUCUUGCAUUGGUGUCUCAGAGGAGGUAGAACUUAGGACCAUCUUUUGCCCCCACAGAGCAGAAAAGGAUGCUGUAAAAAAUUCACAUCUGGAAGCUUUCUCUACUUUAUUCACCAUGGUUGAUGCCACUGGAUUACCUUUUGAAUUCAGGUUUGCAACAGAAAAUAAGAUGCAUAGAUUAUGGACUAGCACACCUGCACAACUUCACGUGAUGUAGGGAGUGAGGUGAGAGGACUUUCUGAGUGAUCCUUGGAAGGACCCAGAAUACUCUCCAAGGAUAUACUGGCACAAACAACCUCUGCUCUAUGUACAUUAACAGUUGGAGUACAAUGAUACCAAACUGUGAAGAAAAUUUCCUUUAAUAAAUGC
rnacentral:lncRNA from 1 species